rnacentral:rRNA from 1 species
GAUGAACGCUGGCGGCGUGCCUAAUACAUGCAAGUCGAGCGAACGGACGAGAAGCUUGCUUCUCUGAUGUUAGCGGCGGACGGGUGAGUAACACGUGGAUAACCUACCUAUAAGACUGGGAUAACUUCGGGAAACCGGAGCUAAUACCGGAUAAUAUUUUGAACCGCAUGGUUCAAAAGUGAAAGACGGUCUUGCUGUAACUUAUAGAUGGGUCCGCGCUGCAUUAGCUAGUUGGUAAGGUAACGGCUUACCAAGGCAACGAUGCAUAGCCGACCUGAGAGGGUGAUCGGCCAUACUGGAACUGAGACACGGUCCAGACUCCUACGGGAGGCAGCAGUAGGGAAUCUUCCGCAAUGGGCGAAAGCCUGACGGAGCAACGCCGCGUGAGUGAUGAAGGUCUUCGGAUCGUAAAACUCUGUUAUUAGGGAAGAACAUAUGUGUAAGUAACUGUGCACAUCUUGACGGUACCUAAUCAGAAAGCCACGGCUAACUACGUG